rnacentral:rRNA from 1 species
GACAGAGGGUGCAAACGUUGCUCGGAAUUACUGGGCGUAAAGCGCGUGUAGGCGGCUCUGUAAGUCUGGUGUGAAAGCCCUUCGCUCAACGAGGGAAGCGCAUCGGAAACUGCGGAGCUGGAGUCCUGGAGGGGAGAGCGGAAUUCUCGGUGUAGAGGUGAAAUUCGUAGAUAUCGGGAGGAACACCAGUGGCGAAGGCGGCUCUCUGGACAGG